rnacentral:rRNA from 1 species
GACGAACGCUGGCGGCGUGCUUAACACAUGCAAGUCGAACGGAAAGGCCCUGCUUUUGUGGGGUGCUCGAGUGGCGAACGGGUGAGUAACACGUGAGUAACCUGCCCUUGACUUUGGGAUAACUUCAGGAAACUGGGGCUAAUACCGGAUAGGAGCUCCUGCUGCAUGGUGGGGGUUGGAAAGUUUCGGCGGUUGGGGAUGGACUCGCGGCUUAUCAGCUUGUUGGUGGGGUAGUGGCUUACCAAGGCUUUGACGGGUAGCCGGCCUGAGGGGGUGACCGGCCACAUUGGGACUGAGAUACGGCCCAGACUCCUACGGGAGGCAGCAGUGGGGAAUAUUGCAAAAUGGGCGGAAGCCUGAUGCAGCAACGCCGCGUGCGGGAUGACGGCCUUCGGGUUGUAAACCGCUUUCGCCUGUGACGAAGCGUGAGUGACGGUAAUGGGUAAAGAAGCACCGGCUAACUACGUG